rnacentral:tRNA from 1 species
GCCUGGGUGGCUGAGUCGGUUAAGCAUCUGACUUCAGCUCAGGUCAUGAUCUCAAGGUUUGUGAGUUAGAGCCUCGUGUCUGGCU